rnacentral:lncRNA from 1 species
GAUCCUACGGAGGUGGAUCAGGAUCCUACGGGGGUGGAUCGGGAUCCUACGGGAGUGGAUCAGGAUCCUACGGAGGUGGAUCAGGAUCCUAUGGGGGAUCAGGAUCCUACGGAGGUGGAUCGGGAUCCUACGGAGGGGAUUCGGGCUCCUUCGGGGGAUCCCGGCAGCGCCCCGGCUACAAGAACCCCGGGAUCCCCUUCGUGCCGGGGCUGCGGCACCCCGCCCGCAUCGGGGGGCGCCUGCCCAUCCGCCGGGGGCCGGGAUCCGGUCCGGGAUCCGGUCAGGGGUCCGGUCAGGGGUACAGCCAGGGAUCCGGUCAGGGAUCCGGUCAGGGAUCCGGUCAGGGAUCCAGGGCCCAGCCAGGAUCCAGCUCCGGGGAAGGGUACGGGUGUGGGGGGUGUUAGAAAUAGGGGAGGGGUCCCAGAGGGUCCCAAAAGAUCCCAGAGGAUCCCAGAGGGUCCAUUGGGGAUGGGGAUGGGUGUGGGGGGUGCCGGAAAUAGGGGAGGGGUCCCAGAGGGUCCCAAAGAUUCCAGAGGGUCCCGGAGGAUCCCAAAUAAAGCCUCGGAUC